rnacentral:rRNA from 1 species
UACGAAGGUCCCAAGCGUUAUCCGGAUUUAUUGGGUUUAAAGGGUGCGUAGGCGGGUUAUUAAGUCAGUGGUGAAAGCCUUCAGCUCAACUGAAGAAUUGCCAUUGAUACUGAUGAUCUUGAGUAUGAUUGAGGUGGGCGGAAUGUGUCAUGUAGCGGUGAAAUGCUUAGAUAUGACACAGAACACCGAUUGCGAAAGGCAGCUCACUA